GACGAACGCUGGCGGCGUGCCUAAUACAUGCAAGUCGAGCGGACGGAUGGGAGCUUGCUCCCAGCCCGUCAGCGGCGGACGGGUGAGUAACACGUGGGCAACCUGCCUGUAAGACUGGGAUAACUCCGGGAAACCGGGGCUAAUACCGGAUAACUCUUUCCCUCACAUGAGGGAAAGCUGAAAGAUGGCAUCUCGCUAUCACUUACAGAUGGGCCCGCGGCGCAUUAGCUAGUUGGUGAGGUAACGGCUCACCAAGGCGACGAUGCGUAGCCGACCUGAGAGGGUGAUCGGCCACACUGGGACUGAGACACGGCCCAGACUCCUACGGGAGGCAGCAGUAGGGAAUCUUCCGCAAUGGACGAAAGUCUGACGGAGCAACGCCGCGUGAGUGAUGAAGGUUUUCGGAUCGUAAAACUCUGUUGUCAGGGAAGAACAAGUACCGGAGUAACUGCCGGUACCUUGACGGCACCUGACCAGAAAGCCACGGCUAACUACGUG
rnacentral:rRNA from 1 species